CUAGUGUUGGUGUAUUAUAUGCACGUUAAGCUUUCUACUUAAAAGAGUUCUUAGGAGCACAUUAGA
rnacentral:tRNA from 1 species